AGCACUAUCCAAUGUUAGGUGGAUUGUUAGGAAUGCUAGAUCGAUCAAUGUGAUGCAUAAUCCAUAGUUGUCCUUCGUUCUCUUGUCCCACUAGCUUGCCACCUUGAACCAUGAGGUAUUGAUGGACUUGAAGGUCGAUCAGCAACCUCCAACUUCUUGGUGAGAAGAGAUGGAAUACCGACCAAGUCCAUCAUGUUUUGACGAGUCUUUGGC
rnacentral:lncRNA from 1 species